rnacentral:lncRNA from 1 species
CACACUCCCUCUGCGCCUGUCAUUUACAGGUUGGCUAUCGACGUCUUACAGUCAAGUCACGAGGGAUCGACGAAAGCAAACCGCACCCGCUGUGAAGUGGGGGUCACUCUGGCACUAGAAUGCAUGAGUGCCACAACAGAGACAGAUGGUGGAUGUGUCCUGCUACACAGAUGCUCCUCCUAGUUAUUCUUCCAAAGGGACGCAGCUCUCUACCAGAACAGAGAACUCACCUUAGAAACAACUGUGACAU